UACGUAGGGUGCGAGCGUUGUCCGGAAUUAUUGGGCGUAAAGAGCUCGUAGGCGGUUUGUCGCGUCUGCCGUGAAAGUCCGGGGCUCAACUCCGGAUCUGCGGUGGGUACGGGCAGACUAGAGUGAUGUAGGGGAGACUGGAAUUCCUGGUGUAGCGGUGAAAUGCGCAGAUAUCAGGAGGAACACCGAUGGCGAAGGCAGGUCUCUGGGCAUUAACUGACGCUGAGGAGCGAAAGCAUGGGAGCGAACAGG
rnacentral:rRNA from 1 species